rnacentral:rRNA from 1 species
AACUUUCAACAACGGAUCUCUUGGCUCUGGCAUCGAUGAAGAACGCAGCGAAAUGCGAUAAGUAAUGUGAAUUGCAGAAUUCAGUGAA